rnacentral:rRNA from 1 species
CCUACGGGGUGCAGCAGUGGGGAAUAUUGGACAAUGGGCGAAAGCCUGAUCCAGCCAUGCCACGUGUGUGAAGAAGGCCUUCGGGUUGUAAAGCACUUUCAGUGGGGAAGAAAGCCUUGGGGCUAAUACCCUCGAGGAAGGACAUCACCCACAGAAGAAGCACCGGCUAACUCCGUGCCAGCAGCCGCGGUAAUACGGAGGGUGCGAGCGUUAAUCGGAAUUACUGGGCGUAAAGCGCGCGUAGGCGGUCUGAUAAGCCGGUUGUGAAAGCCCCGGGCUCAACCUGGGAACGGCAUCCGGAACUGUCAGGCUAGAGUGCAGGAGAGGAAGGUAGAAUUCCCGGUGUAGCGGUGAAAUGCGUAGAGAUCGGGAGGAAUACCAGUGGCGAAGGCGGCCUUCUGGACUGACACUGACGCUGAGGUGCGAAAGCGUGGGUAGCAAACAGGAUUAGAUACCCGUGUAGUC